ACCGAGCAGCGCGGGCCUCCGCGAUGCCUGGGACGCAGCCCGCGGGAACCCCAGGCCCCCCGUGGUGAUGUUUCCCACUGUUCCUAGCAACUCUUUCACCAUGGGUGUACAGGACAUUGGAAUGCUUGUGUCUGCUGGAGACCCUUACAGAAUCAUGCAUUGUACCGUCCGAACUGAGGAAAACAAUACAGUGUGUGAAAAAAGUCAAUGGAGGUUACAGUCAUUAACCCCUCACCCCUGAUGUGAAUGUCCAGUUCAAUGUAUAUGCACAUUAACUACUUAUCUGUAAUUGAACUGAAGUUUAUUCUUUGAAGAUCUGCCUGUGGCAAAUGACUUGAAAUGUGCUGGAAUUUGAACCAUUCCUAGGGAUCAGAAGACAUUUGUUGUUGAAUGCGGUCAGCUAAUCAUCAAAACUUUCAGUGAGAAGCAACUGAUAGCACUAACAAAAUGAAAGACGAGGACCACACAUUUGCAUCCAACAGAUAUUCUUUGGAAAGAAUAUCCUAUUUGGGAUCAGAGAGUAAACAUUAAAGCAAGAGAGGUUUGUUGUAUAUGA